rnacentral:rRNA from 1 species
ACUGCUCAGUAACACGUAGCUAACCUGCCCUCUAGCCCGUAAUAACCUCGGGAAACUGAGGCUAACGACGGAUAGAAGAUAUUUUCUGGAAUGAUUUAUCUUCGAAAUUUCGCGAGAGGAUGGGGCUGCGGCGGAUUAGGUAGUUGGCGGGGUAAAUGCGCACCAAGCCAAUGAUCCGUAAGGGCCUUUAGCGAGGAAGCCCUGAGAGGGAAUCUGAGACACUAUUCCCAGCCCUACGGGGUGCAGCAGUCGGGAAACUUUUGCAAUACACGUAAGUGUGACAAAGCAAGCCGAAGUGCUGUUCUUUUUUGAACAGCUUUUGUGAGAUGCAAAAAGUCUCACGAAUAAGGACCGGGCAAGACUGGUGCCAGCCGCCGCGGUAAUCCCAGCGGUCCAAGUCGCAGCCACAUUUGUUGGGUCUAAAACAUCCGUAGCUCGCUUUUCAAGUCUUUUGUGAAAUCGGGACUCUUAAGGUUCCGGCGUGCAAAAGAUACUGUUAAGCUAGAGACCGGGAGGCGUAAGAAGUACGUAUAGGGUAGCGGUAAAAUGCGUUGAUCCUAUGUGGACUCACAGUCGCGAAGGCGUCUUACGAGAACGGUUCUGACAGUGAGGGAUGAAGGCUAGGGGCGCAAAUUGGAUUAGAUACCCAAGUAGUCCUAGCAGUAAACACUGCACACUAAACAUUGGCACCUCUUCGAGAGGUAUCAGUGCUGUAGGGAAGCCGGAGAGUGUGCUACCUGGGAAGUAUAGUCGCAAGGCCGAAACUUAAAGGAAUUGGCGGGGGAGCA